CACAGCUAAAGUUUAACACAGAAAAUACAGAUAGUUUCGCCAGUGCUUCCUUGGAUGGCACGGUCAAGAUCUGGAGCAUUCAUUCUGAUGGCGGUUGCAUUAUCACUUUGGACGUGUGUCCGGAAGGCCUGCUCUGUGUUGAUUACUUCAAACGCCGUGAUCGAUGGCAUCUGAUCACUGGCACUAUGUACGGGGCAGCACAGAUCUGGGACCUGGAAAUGGAACUCGUUGAAGGAUGUGAUGGAAAGAAGGGAUGUGUUGAAAAGCUAGAAGGACACGCAGGACGUAUCACAGCUGUCAAUUUAUUCCCAGAGCUU